GCACGGCUUGCUCAUCCGAUCCGUGCAGCCGCAGCUAGUGUGUCAAGUUACAGAGGCGCCGGAAUCGGCCCCAGCGCUCCUCGGCAGCGGCCACGACCCACCUCUGCCCGUGGGGCCCUCCACGUGCACCCCUUCGCCCCGGGACUGAAACUGGCUCGCCCGGGAGACGGGAGACACCAAGAAGGACGGACGGCGCAGAACCAACUCCAGGACUCUGCAGAUACUUGAAGGGAAAGACGGGGCGGAAAGGAGAGCCGGCCAGAUUCCCCUAACUUUCCUGGACUUGGAACGUUCUUCGAAGUAACUUUUUUUUUCUCACCUGGGUGUACCCCAAUUACUGCUGGUUGUGUUUUUCGGCUUUCCCCCUCCAGCUGCUAUUUUUUCCAUCCUCUUUGCCGGGAGCCAAGGAUAGGGACAUUUUCCAGCGACACAAGCCCUUUCCCCCUGUCCCGCAGCUUGGAUCGCGCCUUUGGACAGCGGCUCUCGCCUUUAUUUAUUCUAUUUAUUUAUUUAUUGGUUCUCAAUACGCGAGGGGAUGGUAGCAGAGCGCUCCCGCAAAGCGACAGCCGCCGGUGCCCGCGGCCCUGGGGAGCUGGACGCGCCCGGGACGGUGGCGCUGGCGGUGGCGCCGGCGGAGCGCUGCGCGCGGCUGCCGAGCCCGGGGUCGUGCGGGCUACUGGCGCUGGCCUUCUGCUCGCUGGCGCUCAGCCUGCUCGCCCACUUUCGGACAGCCGAGCUGCAGGCCCGGGUGCAGCGCCUGGAAGCAGACCGUGGGGAGCAGCAAAUGGAGCCGGCUAUUUUGGGACGAGUCAACCAACUGCUGGAUGAGAAAUGGAAGCUCCACUCACGGAGGCGCCGGGAGACCCCGAAGACGUCUCCAGGGUGUCACUGCCCGCCAGGACCUCCUGGUCCUGCUGGAAGACCCGGCCUUCCGGGGGACAAAGGUGCCAUUGGGAUGCCUGGACGUGUGGGAGGAAAGGGCCAACCAGGCGAGAAGGGCGCCCCAGGAGAUGCCGGGAUGUCCAUCAUCGGUCCCCGCGGCCCCCCUGGUCAGCCGGGCACUCGAGGUUUUCCUGGAUUUCCGGGUCCCAUUGGGCUUGACGGCAAACCGGGCCGCCCCGGACCAAAAGGGGAGAUGGGACCUCCAGGACAAAAAGGAGAAAAGGGUCAGUGUGGAGAGUACCCACACCGGCUGCUGCCUCUCCUCAAUUCAGUGCGGCUGGCUCCACCCCCAGUCAUUAAAAGGCGGACCUUCCAGGGUGAACAGGGCCAGACUGGCAUCCAAGGGCCACCAGGCCCUCCUGGACCGAGUGGACCUCUGGGGCACCCAGGACUGCCAGGGCCCAUGGGGCCACCCGGCUUACCUGGGCCUCCUGGACCAAAGGGAGACCCGGGGAUCCAGGGCUACCACGGCCGGAAGGGAGAACGGGGCAUGCCAGGGAUGCCGGGCAAACACGGAGCAAAGGGGGCUCCUGGAAUCGCUGUGGCCGGGAUGAAGGGUGAGCCUGGGAUCCCAGGAGCCAAGGGUGAGAAGGGGGCUUCGGGCCCCCCUGGGCUGCUCGGCCUCCUAGGGCAGAAGGGAGAAAAAGGUGAUGCCGGCAACUCCAUUGGAGGGGGCAGAGGGGAGCCUGGGCCCCCAGGGCUCCCUGGGCUCCCAGGGCCAAAGGGGGAAGCUGGAGCUGAUGGCCAGGCGGGCACCCCAGGACGGAAAGGAGACAAGGGGGAGCCUGGAGCAGCUGGAGAGCAGGGACCUGCUGGCCCCAAGGGCUCCAAGGGCGAACCCGGGAAAGGAGAGAUGGUGGACUACAACGGAAACAUCAACGAGGCUCUCCAGGAGAUCCGGACCCUGGCCUUGAUGGGGCCCCCUGGUCUUCCUGGGCAGAUUGGCCCACCCGGAGCUCCAGGGAUCCCAGGCCAGAAGGGGGAGAUUGGACUGCCCGGCCCUCCCGGACAUGAUGGGGAAAAGGGACCUCGAGGCAAACCAGGAGAUGUGGGCCCUCCUGGUCCCCAAGGCCCCCCAGGAAAGGCUGGGCCUGCAGGACUGAAGGGAGAAGACGGCCUUCCGGGGAACCCAGGAGAGAAGGGGGAGAAAGGGGAGAUGGGGCAGCCAGGCCCACCGGGUCUAGACGGCCCAACCGGGGAGAAAGGAGAACCAGGUGACCAAGGGAGAGCUGGAGUGACCGGAUUGCCUGGCCCAAUCGGGCUCCCAGGAUUCACGGGAGAGAAAGGAGAACCCGGGGAGAAGGGUGACCCAGGAGUGGAGGUUCCUGGGCCACCAGGGCCAGAGGGGCCUCCCGGACCUCCGGGGCUCCAAGGCGUUCCUGGACCAAAGGGGGAAGCAGGACUAGAUGGAGGAAAAGGAGAAAAGGGCAUCCAGGGAGAAAAAGGAGACCGAGGUCCUCUGGGAUUACCCGGAGCUUCAGGUUUGGACGGCAGGCCUGGGCCACCGGGUACUCCAGGACCAAUUGGAGUUCCAGGCCCAGCGGGACCAAAGGGAGAGAGGGGCAGCAAAGGCGACCCUGGGAUGACAGGACCAACGGGAGCAGCUGGGCUUCCUGGUUUACACGGACCACCCGGGGACAAAGGAAACCGGGGACACCGAGGUUUUAAAGGAGAGAAAGGGGAGCCGGGGUUACCAGGGCUGGACGGACUGGAUGCCCCGUGCCCACUGGUAUGGCAUCACCCUCCCUUGCCUGCAUGGCCAGUGUGGGCUUCCCCACGUGUGCGGUUUGUGCCUGUGUGCCUCUCCCGCUGCCCGGCACACUCCCGCUUGUCACUCUUCACUCUGUAGACACCAAGGGUCACCCUGCCUUAGCUGGUCCUCAGGGGGCUCCCGCCACGUUCCCCUCUUGCAUGCAGAGUCUGCCGGGAUGCUUUCUUGGCUUCCUCCUGCAGCUGCUUCAAAAGCCCAUCACCUUAAUGUGAGCGGCCCUCCCCACCCGAUGCCAACCUUAGCUGCAUCAGACCCUCCUUUCAGAACUGCUUCUAGACAAACCUGCCACCAGAAAGAAAGGCAGGGAAGUGGAAUAUCAGGACAAGUUAUUAGGAUUGUGACUUCUCUUCCUUCACACACUGCAGUUAGUUGGAAAAGCGUUGGCAAAACAUUUCAGUGAGAUGCCUGAGUUGGCCCCAUGUCCCUCUCCACUCCAGCAUCGCACGAUUUAGCAGAGGAAAGAUGGGCACCUUAUAAACACGGGGCAGAAUGAGGAGUUCUAGAACCAAAGUAGAGGAGGGGGUACCCUGACUGUUCUUCCAGCAUAGAUCUGGGUUCACUGCCCCGGUGACACCCCCAGAACCAGGAGAUGGUCCAAAAUUAGGAUUCUAGAUCCUGUAGGGUUCAUCCUUUUUGCUUAAAUCCCAGAAGACACUACAAGACCCUCCCUUAGUUUCCCUUUUUUUUUCAUCUUUAGGUGGUUCACAACCGAAAGGUCUGGAAGAACCUGGAAAGGUUGAGGAAGGGAAGGGAGAGGCAGGGAGGGAGGGGAGACAUUUAGGACCCACUCCCAAGCAUGUCCCACCUAAGUGGUGGCAGUUCUGGUGCCGCUGGGCCCACUCCCUCUCCAAGCAGGGACACCCGAGGCUCCUACAGCAAUCCUUUCAACAUACUGCAGGGGAAGCAGAAGAUGGCACUUCACUCCAAGGCAACUGGCUCGAAAACUUCCUGCUCUCCUAAAUUUCUGGAGGAGGUUUGGAGCUCAUGGAUCUAGUUUCGUACCAGUAAUUGUCAGAUGAGCAUUCCCAGCCUCACAUCCCCACCCCAGGGUCACACAGGAAUGAUCUUUGAAAAGAAGAGAAAAAGCUAUUUUAAAAAAAGAUGCUGUGUGACCCUGACAGGUGACCACAGAGCCCCUUGAAGGGACUUUUUAGGACCACACAGGCAACACAAAGGACGGCAGAGUAAGCAGCGUCGCAAACUUCCCAUUCCCGCCGCACUCCCCACCUUCCCACGCCCCCGCCCCGCUCCCCACCUUCCCCACCCCCACCCCGAACCCCCAGCAUGCAGCGCGCACCGCACGGGCGCCUUUCUCAGCCGUGGGAUCUCCCGCGCCCUCCGCAGCACCUCCGUUAACCAGCAGCCAGGCGUCCGCUCUGCCGUGACCCUUCCCACGAUCUGAACACUUGAGUUCUGCCGGCUGCAGCCCUGGCCUCCCUGCUUCUCACCCACACACCGUCACUCCCCUCUGCCUGCCCAGCCCUCCUCUGUCCCCCCUGCCACCACCCACGUGCCAAUGGGAAUGCCCCUGUGGUCCACGGAGGCUCCUCUCCCUUCCAGAGACCGUGUGAAGUGUCGCAUUGUGGCGGGCUGGGGAAAGGGACAGAGGGCUUCAUGGAACCCUGGGAUGCACCACCUCGCCCUGCAGACCCUCCCCAACCCAAAAGGGACAAUGAAAGUUAUCUUGAUUUGACCUUUAAUGCAAACUGGCAUUUUCUCCAGUAACAUUUGUGUGUUACUUUCGCUGUGGAAGUGUACAUGCCUUGCCUUUCUUGUUUCUCAUUGUUGCUGUUCGCCGUCUCCUGCGCUGUGUUACUGUGGACGUGGGGCGGGGCAGGGGGGCUGUUGAUCAGGAAUUUUAGUACAAGGUAACUAGACUUCUGCGGCCCCCGUGCAGGGCCGGCUGUCUGCUGGAUGCCAGGUGAGUGGCUUCGGCACCUGUCAUGGGUGGAUGAGUAGGCCCAGGGCACAGGGUGCUCCCGUUCCGGCUUCGCGGGGGCUGACCACUUGCUGCGGUCCCCUGAAACCCCGUGUGCAUCUCUUUCUCUGCCCUGGAGCCUGGAGUUCUAGAAUCUGGGCUGCAAUUCUAACAGACCCAGACUGAGAACCAGAUCUUUGCCCUGGUUCAACCUCACCCCCUCGACCUGCCUCUCAGUGGUUUCUAGGUUCCCGCAGGGAGUGCCAGAGCAGCCAGGAUAGCAGGGCCCAGGAGACUCGGGACGUCCUGAGGCUGCAGGAGCUCCGCAGGUGCACCGGCAAAGGGGACAAGCGGCACCCGGUGGAUUCCCAUUCCACCACUGCCUCUUCCCCCCAAGUCCCCAGCAAUGGCUGUGCCAGGAGCCCUGCCUCCUUGCUGAAGGCACCUCAGGCCCACGUUGCAAUGCCUGUGAAAUCACCCCUCCUCCUCCUUACUGAUCACCAGAUGGGAAUUGCCUAGAUGUCCUCCCCCAGCUGCUAAGGAAGAGAGAAAAAAUCAGAGAAUGGGAGAAGUGGGGGGCGGUCGUUUCAUAGAGCUGCACCUUCCCCAGGUUUUAUGGAGGAGGAAACUGAGGCCCCCAAGCGCUGAGUGACGCCCACGGGCACCCCGCACUCAGUACAGCCCGAGGGGAGACCAGCAGGCCUCUGGUCUGUCCUCUCCACAGCAUUCAGGUCACCUCUGCUUGCUGAGCCCACAGGCUAGGACAGCCCGUCUUGGCCGUGCACUGUAAUUACAUGUGAGUUUGGCCAGUGGGCAGAUGGGUGGGCUUGCUUCCUGCCUCCUUUCGGCUCGGCCCUGGCGUAGAGAAAAGAAACAGACUAUAUCAGGGGGGCCGCACCCUGGUCAGCUGCCGCAAUGUUUGUGGCCCUUGUUCCCCCUGUCCUGCUGCUUGGUGGGCCAUCCCGCAGAGUCUGAGCCGUCUGCCUUCCUUCCUCACUGCAGGGUGAAGACGGCUUGCCAGUCCAGGGCUGCUGGAAUAAGUGAUGCCUCUAACCUGGGAUUGGCCUGUGUGUGUGUUUGUAAAUAGAAUAUUUAUUUUUAUACAGUUUUCACUUUUUGAAAAUGCCCGAAGUAUGAUGCAUCUUACAGAUUAUUAAAAAAAAGGAAAGCCUGCAUAUUUUGUACAGAAAAUACCAACCUCUUCCCUUUUGUUUACAAGAUGUUUUGUAUACGUCUAAGACUCUAAUACACUUUUCGUUAGUGAG